GGGAAACAGGCAGAGGGGCCAGCCUAAGGCCCCGCAACCAACUGGGGCA
rfam:Nomascus leucogenys chromosome 22a, whole genome shotgun sequence.